GGGGGCCGAAGCAGUGGGCUACAGGAACCUGGUGGGGCAGCCUCACCUCAGCACCCUUGGAAGAUCCCAGCACACAGGGACUGCCCUCUGGGAGAUAAUCUGGCCAUAACGAGUGUGGACCAAUGUUUCUGUGUUGGAGAAAGCUGGGCUGUUGCUUUUCCACGAGAAGGGAAGGAGAAGGACCAAGUCUUCACUCCUGACUCUCGCCCUUGUCCCCAAACUUAAACCACACCCGAUAAAAGCAUACACAGAAAGACCGUGUUCCAGAAUAGCAGCUGUGAGCAUGCCAGGAUGGCGGGUGACUUUUAUUUUGUUAAAUAUAUCUCCUUUUUUUUUUUUUUUGAGAUGGAGUCUCGCUCUGUCGCCCAGGCUGGAGUGCAGUGGCGUGAUCUCGGCUCACUGCAAGCUCCGCCUCCUGGGUUCACACCAUUCUCCUGCCUCAGCCUCCCGAGUAGCUGGGACUACAGGCGCCCGCCACCACACCCGGCUAAUUUUUAUAUUUUGUUUAGUAAAGAAGGGGUUUCACUGUGUUAGCCAGGAUGGUCUCGAUCUCCUGACCUCAUGAUCUACCUGCCUCGGCCUCCCAAAGUGCUGGGAUUACGGGCGUGAGCCACAGCGCCCGGCCGUUAAAUACAUCUUCUAAAUUUCCUAUCAUG